UGACAAUCACUAGCAGUGAUUCAUAUGAUGUAUGCUCAGGAACAUUGUCAUGUGUUCUUUCUUUGGAUCAUUUAUUAUUACUAAACAGUGACCUGCACUUUUCAUGUUUAGUGUCACAUUAAUAUCACUAAAAGGCUUUGUCCUCCUGCAGUACACCACCUACCUUUUUAUAGGUAGAGCAUAAAAAAAAGAAGUGAAGAAAUGAAGUGGGUCAUUUAGAAAAAAAGAAGUGGUUUUUAAACUGUCAUGUAAAUCCGUUUUCACAAUGUGUCUCUAUGAUCUAUUUCAUUUCCCUGACAAAAGAAAGUCUAAAAUAGUUCUGUAGUAUUUAUUUAUUUAUUUAAUUUACUUACUUACUUACAAUUUAAAUCACAUGUUGACUUUUAAAUCAAAUUGCAUUUGCAAAACACAGCCUUGAACAUUCUUGCAUAAGAUUUACGGAAACAGAAAUAAUUCUUGUUGCUCAAUGUGUUUUUCUGAAGCAGAACAUGAGUUAAGGAAGUCGCCAUAACUGCCAACCGCUGUUAAUAUAUAAUGCUGAAUAAGAUUAGGUUGGUUGAAGAUUAGGUGCAGAUUGCAGUAUACAGAUUAGGUUCGUGUGGAUUAGAUAAAACCUGAAGGCUUUAGACUGGCCAGACCAAUCAUCAGACUUUAUGAAGUAAGAAACAACCAACAAACAAACAACAACUGAAAGAAGAUGCACAAACUUGGAAAUGAUUGCAACAUGUUGGUGAUGUCAGUGUCUCAUUGGUUUGAUGCAGUUAUUUCCGAUGAGGGAUAUGUAACCAAAUACUACAGCUGUUCAAAAUCUCCCAAAGCUGCCCGUCAUGAUCGAUGCAGUGGGCAGAGCGGUCAGCACUGAGGCUGGGACUAAUAACCGCAAUAUGGAUAACAUCACGAUGAAGCUCAUUGCUUUGGAUACUGUUUUGGUUAACAUCAUGGAGAAGCUCACUGCUUUGGAAAGAAAAAUGGAUCGAUAUGGAGACCAGAAUGGACUAAGAGAGUAGUCGUGUAAAUUGGAAUGUGUCUACUCGCCCCAAGACCAAACAAUCCCAAUCUUAUCUGCUUUCGGCUCCCCUCAACCAGCACUGGCCUCGGCCAAGGCCGCUGUUGGAACAACAAUUCCCCUGGAAGAGCACUGCAGCGAGACUCUCUUGCGUUCCUCCCCCCACUUCUACAGACACCUGCUGAUUCUCUUUGGGACCUAAUCAAGGUUGUCUCCAUGGCAAUUUGCUGUGUAUCGCUAUGACAAACUUGCGGACUGAGGCACACCAAGAUUUGAUGCCGGGAGCAACGACUCUCCAGGCCUACACUUACAUACAUACACACACACACACACACACAUAUAUAGAUAUGCACUCCCCCCAUCCCCCAUCCCAUGCCUUCGCCGCUUUGUACCGCCAGUCUGACAAGCGGGUCUGUGACCAGCGCCGAAGAUAAAGGCCGCAGGACCUGAUGGCUGCUUGCCUGUGCUGGAUUACCUCCACCCCCCACUCCCCUCCCCUGUUGCAAGUCAUGUGUUUAUGGCGUACUGUUUAUGUGCUUAUGUUGCUGAGGUGUUUUUUUCCUGUUCCCACACUGUACUCCCCACCGGAGCAUAGUCUGGGGGUUGUUGUUUUUUUCUCCUCCCUUCCCUCAUGUUAUGCUGUAUUUCUUUUCAAUCCCCUGUCUUCCUGUCCUGUCCUCCCCUUGUAUUGUAUGUAUUGUAUGUAUGGGCAGGUUGAUGGCUAAUUUCGCUGGUACCUGUGACCAGUGACAAUAAAGGCUACUACUACUACUA